rnacentral:lncRNA from 1 species
GUAAACAUUCAUUUGCAAAAUGAUAGAUUUGAUAUAAAAUCAUAUUAGGAGACUCACAAACAUAUACAUACCUUGACAACCAUCUAUCAGGUAUGGAUUCCCAUCAUAUCCUUGCAUACAGGAACAUCGAUAUCCAUUUGAAUUAUCCUGACAAUCACUGUUUUUACUCUUACAUCCAUAUGUAGUCGAAUUUCUCUUAGCUAUUUCACAUGUUUCUUCACCAAUUGCCCAAUCUAGUACGAGAGGAAACUUCUCUUCUUUCUGCAAACUGCUGAGGUAAGUCUUAGAAAAGCUAAAAUUAGCUUGAUCGACCACAAAAGCAUAGAUGCAACUAAGGUCAUCUUUCAUAUCAGUAUCAUUAUAAUUAUAAUAGCUGCUUAGUGUUAUGGUGACAUUCCAUGCUCCCUUAGGGAUGGAUGUCUUGCAACAACCGACCCCAGAACAUGUGUCAUGAACAACAUCAUCAAUACUAUUGCACAUGGACAUGCAUCCUGUUAUGUAGGGGAGAUACUCGAUUUUAGUUCCAAACUUGGUAUAAUAACCCUGAACAAUUGCAUACGUGUCACAACCGAACGACAUUCAUUGACUACCAAGUCGGACACUCCCAUCACAAAUUUAUUCAUUCUAGACCUCGAGUCCGCCACUAUGGUUGGAACAUACUUGGAUAGUUGGGUGAACUUUAAAGCAUACUCUUUCACACUCAUACCCCAUUGACGAAGGUUUAUGAACUCUUGCAUUUUUCGUUCCCUCAACUCUAGGGGAAUGAAUCUAUCAAGAGACUCCGAUUUAAACGAUUCCUAUCCUAUCGGGCCCGCUCCUAUGGGUCCCUCACCUUUCCAUUGUUCAUAUCAAACUUGAGCCACAUCUUUUAGUUGGUAGGCAGCUAGCUCUGCCUUCUCCUCUGAAGACACCCUCAUAGCAUCAAGCACCUUACAAACCUCAUCAAUAAACCUUUGGGGAUCCUCUUCCACUUUGGAACCAAGAAACUCGGAAGGGUUCAUCCUUGCAAAAUCCCUCAAUCUAGAAGCCAAGGAAUUCAUAUUAGGGUUCACACGAGUCCCAACAUCUCUAUUGGCUUGGGCGGUCAUGGCUUGGGCAUGAGUUGUCAAGGCUUGAGCUUGAGCCGUCAUAGCUUGGGUCAACAUUAGAAAAGUCGACCUAACCUCCACAUCUGUCAUAGCCGGAGGAUUAAUCAGUGCUUGAUCAGCUUGAGGAGCUUCCUCAUUCACAUUGUCACCCUCCAUUCUUCUUGCAUUAGCCCUUCGUGUAUUCAUUUCCUGAAGACACAAGAGAAGGAUUAGGAGAGGGACUUUUAUAGAGUUAAACUCUAAGGUACGAGUACAACUUAAGAGUAAUGAAAGAAGUGUAGUUUCCUAAACAUCUUAUAGCCUCUCACUCAUAAAUGUGGCACGCUUCACACUCAUGAACAAGACUCUACUAGAGGUGGCUUAUGAGACAUCAUCCUAGAAUCAUUCUAAAUAUUUUGCUCUGAUAACCAAGUUUGUAACGACCCAAGGGUACCCCCUAGACGUAACAAGGCACAUAGAACCCCGAAAGGAACCAUGUAAGACACUUAGCAUAUCAUAACAUAAGUAAAGAACAAUAAAGAGUAAAACACAUUUUCAAGUCUUAAGAAGUUUUCAUAAAACAAAGCGGAAGUCUAGACUUGUCUCAAUUAGCCAUCUAUUACAAUUGAAGUAUCAAAUAGGGUCAUAGCCCUUACAAUAAAAUCUUAAAGUCUAGUACAAUGAAAGAAAGGAACUACAAGACAUCACUCGUCCUCGGAUCCAUGAGGACUCACCACAAGCUAGGAGAAUAGUCGAUCCAAGCUUGUAUCGAAGGAAGAUCACCUCAAACACUAGAACCUACACUUUGUGGAAAAUGUAGAAAAGAAAUAUGGGUUAGUACAAAAAUGCACUUAGUAUGAUAGUCAUGCAUAAAAUCCUUGAAACAUGCAAAAAGGGACAUUUUAAUUAAAUGCAUGCAAUUUGUAAGUUAAAACCUCAUUUUUAAGACAAUGGAAGAGCAUAACUCAUAAGCAUGUUCAUUACAUAAAUACUCACAUCAUAAGAAGACCAUACCAUUUGUACCCUCAAAGCAUACAUGUGCAAUGCAUAAAUAAGAUCCCAUAAUCCUACCCAAUGCUAAGUAAAGUUUAUUGAGUAACCAUCAUUCAUAUUUCAUGUUCUUGUUCAUAGUUAAUCAUAGUGGGAAUACGCCUUAACCGACAUAGGCCAUGUGAGCUAAAAUGGAAUCUGGUGUCAUGCCCCACACCGAAAAAAGGUGUCCUACUUGUCUAAGGUAGAACUAACAUGUGUUAGCUUUUAGAUGGAUCCACUAGCUAAAGACCUAUGGGGGCACAUAGUUUAUGGGAUAAGGAGUUGCUACUAGAAACCCGGACUCAUUGAGGUAGAAGGUUUCCAUCUCAUUAGAUACAUAUGUUAGGAACCCGGACUCACUGAGGCAGAAGGAACCCAUUUAAAAAGCCGGACUCACUGAGCUAGAAGCUUUCAUCUCAUAUUCAAUAUCCACUCGAUGCUAAGCAUGAUUCCCAUUAAGUUCAUAUUAAGUUUUGACUUAAGUUCAUGUUUACGGAAGAAUGUCUUAACACUCAAUCCAAUAUAUAUAAUUCAUAAGAUAGCUUGUAGAUUCAAUAGGUGAGAAUGGCCUUUCAACCUUAGAAUCAUCAUAUUGUGAGAAAACCUUUCAUAUCAUGUCCAUUAUGUGUUUAUGAGAAUGACCUUUCAAUCAACACACAAUUAGACUAUAAUCAUGUUCAUAAAGAAUAUACAAUAAGUCCACAAUCAUGUAUAAUUCUCAUCGUUCACCCCUCUUAGGUCAAGGAUCACAUUACAUCCAACACAUCUAGAUUUACUACGCUAGAUAUGGAUAAUAACAUGAUUCAAUUUACUAAAUUACUAUAAGUAUAAUCUCAUAAUAUUCUCCCUUCAUCAAGUCACCCACAUCACAAAGGUAUAAAUUGGGAAAUAGGGGGUUUCAUGGGUUCUUGGGGGAAUUCAUCAUAAAUCAACAAUAAAUCAUCAAUUCAAUCAUAAUCCAUCAUAAAUCAACCAUUAAAAACGUUUUUGGAAAGAACCCAUAAGAUUGAAGUCAAACCCUAACUUUUGGGGAAAUCAAUAGUUUAGAAAUUGAGUUUGAAAGGGCUCCAUGGAUGAAAACUAUCCAUGGAUCAAGGACUGCCAUACCUUAGGUGGAGAAUUACCACGAAUUUGAGGAGAAAAGAUGGAUCCUUCAACCCUAGUUUCACCCUUCUUCUUCUUCUUUGGAGUUCGAGAGAGAAUAUUUUGGAGAGGGUUUUGGUUUUGAUUUAGGAAGUUGGUAGUUAUGAUUUAAGAAGACUUAGUUUAGGGACUUAAAACCUUAUAUAGUUAGCUUAAUUAAGUGUAAAACGACGUCACUUAACAUUAACUUAAAAAGGAAAACCCUAAACUACCCCUCCACUAAUCCCGAAACCGACCUUCAGGCAUGACCCACGACCCCCCCCCAACCUACGGACCGUGGCAGGACCCACGGCCCGUGCUGGUGAAGCAUCGGUCAGGGUUCUGCAACCUGUUUUGGAGGGCUUGGUCUAUGGAUACCUACCCACGGAGCGUGGGUUGACCCACGAGGCGUGAAUGCCCUCCGUGGGUCACUGCCAGGUAGUCCUUUAGGGGCUUUUCCUCAAGGAGCCAUGGUUGGUCCUUAGGUUUUAAGCCUUGACGUUCUAACAUGAAAACAUGAAUUUUAAGGUACGGGGAGGUACAUCUGCGACUCUAAACCCUAACGUCAAGCUCUAAUUUAGUCUACUAAUUUCCGAAGUGUUACAUAUAUAUAUAUAUAUAUAUAUAUAUAUAUUAUAGUGUAAUUAUUUAGUGAGGUAUGAAUGUAAAGGGAUAUGUGUUUGUAAUUAUUUUUCUUUUAUGGGUGUUUGUUUAGUUUCUCCAUACAUAAAUAAAUACACUUGACAUUAAUUUGUUACUCAAAUUUAUUAUGUCUGGACAAAUAAAAGAGAUGCAACUAAUUAAACUUAGUUCCUAUUUCUAAUAUGCCUAAGAAAAAAAGAAAUUCAUGUUGAAGUUGUUGCCGUUUUGAGCUCAUGCUUCUGAGACAAAUUAACAUGCAUGAUAGAUCACCUUCCUCCACGAAAUGGUAAAUGUUAUAUUCUAGGUUUUUUUUAUGAUCCUCACAAAUACAAGGACCCGGUCCCUGGCAGAGUGCUCUCGUCCAGAUUCAAAAUAGGGUAUAGUUGUAAAGCUGUCAUGUCAGGUUGGUUGGUGAAAAGUGCAGUGUACUUCACCAAUAGGAAGGGCGGACGAGGUUGUUUGUUUCAGUGGUCAAAACUCUUGUUGGUGACUGAUUUAUACAACAAUAAACAAACAACAUUAUUCAUUCAAUAAAGAGAGAGAGCUAGCAAGUCUUUUCAAGAACUUACAAAGAAAACACUGCAAGGGACCUGGUCCCGAAAAGACUGCAUAUGUGAAAAAGUCAAAUGACAGCUGUCUAAAAGCUGUCACAUCUGACAUGGUUGGUGCACAACUUUUCAAAAUAGCAGACUCUCAGCUAAUGGUGUCGUCCCAUAGAGUUUGUGUCUAUUUGAUAUAGUCUCUUCUCACAAAACACAAACUUAAGAUUUGGCAAACGAAAAUUCAUAAGCUUACAAAGAGAGGGCCAUCUUCAAGGAAGAACUCAAGCACAACAUAACACAUACAUCAAGGGACCUGAUAGACCAAAGAAGAGCAAUCUUUAUCUGUUGGUGUUGUUGAAUGCUUGUAAUGUGCUAAACUUGUAGGAUUCGUUUCACUCUUUUAAGAAACGUUUCAAACCUUUGUGUGAGUUAGUGUAAGAGCAUUGUUAGAGUUAACUUUGAUUCUUACGGUUUGAAGUCUAUAUUAAUUAGUGAUAGUUAAUAUAGUGGGCAAUAAAUGCAUUGUUUUGACUCAGUAAGUAAUAGGUGUAUUACUUAGUGUGAGAUUAAGAGUUUAGUCUCAUUGGUGUAGUUGAAAACUGUAUUCAGUUUUACUUGGAGAUUAGUGAAUGCAGUUGAAAAUCCUGUGUGACAGGUCGUGGUUUUACUCCUUUGAGCAAUGAAAUUUCCACAUAAAACUCUUGUACCUGAUUUACAUUGUGCUAUUUAUUUUCCGCAUUUUUAUUCUGUCGGGGGACCUGAUCCUGUGAUCACUAAGUGGACGCGUACAUUCCAUCAAUUGGUAUCAGAGCUUGGGCUCUCUAUCUAGUUAACACCAAGAAAGAGAUUCCUGCGAAGAAUGGCGAACCACUGAACUUGCAAAAAGGUCUGUCUCAUACAAGGCCACCUCUUCUUGAUGGUUAAUUCUAUAGAUGGUGGAAUAUUCGAAUGAGGGACUAUCUCAUGGCUGAGGACAUUCAAGUGUGGAAUAUUAUUUUUGAAGGUCCUUAUGUGCCAAUUAUGGAAGUAAAAGAUGGAGAUGUCACAAGAGUCAUUCCCAAAACUCGACAACAAUAUAAUGACUCCGAUAGAAGAAUGGUUGAGAAAAAUCACAAAGCCUGGAAGCUAUUGAUGUAUGGCAUUGGAGUAAAUGAAUAUGAUAUGAUUUCAUCUUGUGAAUCAGCCAAGGAAAUUUGGGAUCGGUUGAGAACAACGUAUGAGGGCACUGAGGAAACAAAGAAAUCUAAGCUAGAUCUCUUUACUACUCAGUUAGAAAGUUUCACCAUAAAAGAAGGUGAAUCUAUUCAUGAAAUGUGUACUAGAUUCUCCACCAUUACAAAUGAGCUUAUGUUCCUGGAAGAACCUAGCAGGUCUCUAAGAUACUGGAAAUUCUUCCUAGAUCUUGGACAAAUGAAUUUGUGGUUGAUGAUGAGACAAGGGAUCCUGAAGUAGAGAUGUUGGAUGCACUGUUUGAACAUCUUCAAGUUUAUUAGAUGCACAGAAAAAGGGAUGGUCUCUUUCUCAAAGGCAAAGACAGAAGGUCAGAUUCGAUUAAUGAGGCUAAUCAGAAGAAAGAUAAAAAAAAAGGGACAAAUCACGGGCUCUCAAGGUGUCACAAAGUGAAACCCCUGAAAUAAAUGAGAACAUGGGCUAUUUCACUCAAAGAUUUCAAAAAAUCGUGAGAGAACGUGGAGGUUUCAUGAAAGAAAAUCUUGACAGGGCUACAAGCUCAAAUGACUUGUGUUACAGGUGUGAUAAACCAGGUCACUUCAUUAGAGACUGCCCUAUGCACAAAGUUGACCACAGGGUAUAUGUCAAGUCUAAGUCUGGAGAAGGCAAAGACAAAAAGGGGGACCAGGUCCGUGACAAGUCAAGCAGAAGAGAAACUACUGAUCAUGUGGUGAAGAAGGAUCUGACUGCCAAAAUAAAUAUUCUGAGUUAUUCUCUGAGAAUUGUCACGAUUACAUACAGUACCAUUACCACUGAAAUGUGGAGGGCAUGUACAUGUAUAGUUCCCUUGUGUAUUCUGGCAAACGGCAUCUUCCGCACAUCUAUAAUCUGGUUUCUGAUCCAUACAUUCGUUGAUAUCUUCAGACUCAUAGAGCACAAACGUGUUUAGUACAGUAAACUCUCUUAAGAUGUGAUGGUUGGGGGUGGGGUGGGGGAGAGGUAGUUCAAAAGGAUAACUAAGACUGUUGAUAGUUAAGGGGAAUGCGAUGAAAGCAGGACAAAUUUAGAGGGUGUUGAGAUAUUCUACCCAAGCUCUAAAAGUAAACUGAAGUAAUAUGAGAGUGAUCAUGUAUGCAUGCAUACCUUGGCAGACAUCAGGUAUGGAUUUACAUCAUAUCCUUGCAUGCAGAAACAUCGAUAUCCGUUUGAAUCCUCAUCACAAUAGUUGUUGUUACUCUUACAUCCAUAUGUAGUCGAGUUUGUCUGAGCUAUUUCACAUGUUUCUUCACCAAUUACCCAAUCUAGCACAAGAGGAAGCUUCGUAAUGUUCUGCAAAUUUUCCAAGUUUUUCUUAGAAAAAUUAGCAUAAGGGCUAGUAUUUUCGACCACAUAAGCAUAGCUGCAACAAGUGUUCUCAUCUUUCUCAUAAGUAUGAUUAAAAUAGCUGCUUAGUUUUAUAGUGAACUUCUUUGCUCCAUUAGGGAUGGGUGUCUUUCAACAACCGACCCUGGAACAUGUGCCAUUAUCAGCAUCAUCAAUACUAUUGCACAUGGACAUGCAUCCUGUUAUGAAGGAGUAUUCGUUAGUUGUUGUAUUCUCAAACUUUGAAUAAUUACCAUAAGCUAUGGCUGAUGUGUCACAGCCAAUUGCGAUGAACAUAUUCGCUGUGUGGCUCACAGUUAACAACGAUGGUAAUUUUAUUUUUGGCGUGUUAUUCUCUGUGUUUAUCCUGUUGGAAAUGUAACAAUCUCUGGAUAUGUACUUUAAGAUGUUAAGUUGCCCAGCGAGAGAUAUGUUUGUAAUUUCAAUACUGUUGUUUCCUAAAAAAGGCUGGGGAGUCGGAAAGGAGUAAUCACAAGUGACAAGGAACUGAUCACGUAGAGUGCAAUCUCGGGACAUACCAAUUACCAAAUGGGAAAGGGAUGUUGACAUUGCCACAACUUUCAUUGCAGUUAGAUUUGGCUAUGAGAUUGUUUGUGCUGUCAUUCUCAUGCUUAGUAUUUGUUGGAAUAUUAUGCAGGGUUUAAACAAGAAAAGUUCAGACAGUAUUAGGGUGGUUUAGUAGUUGGUUAGAGUUAUACACAUAUUACUAUUGAAAGAAUUAGCUAUGAAUGAAUCCAUGUAUUGUUUUUUUUUUUCCAAUUAUUAGUUAUUUCACAUUCUAUCCUGCAUAAAAUAAUACAUAGAUUCUCUCAAAAUGUGUUGAUUUUUACUCGGAUACAUAAUAAAUAACUACACUUGACAUUAAUUUGUUACUCAAAUUUAUUAUGUCUGGACAAAUAAAAGAGAUGCAACUUAUCAAACUUAGUUCAUAUUUCUAACAUGCCCAAGAGAAAAAAGAAAUUCAUGUUGAAGCCGUGGCCGUUUUGAGCUCGUGCUUCUGAGCAAAAUUAACAUGCAUGAUUGAUCACCUUCCUCCAGGAAAUGGUAAAGUUACAUGGCUCGUUACACUAUCAAUAUGGAUACUGUGUUCACAAUAUUCAUAUCCAAAUCCAGGCAGUAAGGACUUAAUCUCCUCGGACUGCUGAUCAGUUUGAGCCCACGAGUGCUUCAAUUUUGAUCCAGCUUCCAAUUCUGCUGCAACUUCCUUCAUAGUAGGUCGAUCAUCCCCUUUAAGAAUUAAGCACCUUUGGGCAAGCACAGCAACAUUUUUCAAUUGCCCUGCAUUUACCUCAUCACAGACUAUGUUGCUGUCUAGAAUAUCGAACAAAUGACCCUUUUCCACUGAAGAUAUGAAAUAUUGAGCUAGACAUCUCUCUUCUUCUGGUCUUUCAAAACAUAAAGCCUUUCUACCGGUUAGGAGCUCUAUAAGCACUACUCCGAAACUGUAUACAUCACUUUUUUCAUUAAGUUGAUUUGUUUGCAAGUAUUCAGGAUCUAGAUAUCCUAGAGUUCCUUGAACCAAUGUAGAUAACUCUGUUUGAUCAGCAGGAACCAACCUGGAUGCUCCAAAAUCAGACACUUUGGCUGUGUAGUUUUUGUCUAAAAGAAUGUUGACUGAUUUUAUAUCUCUAUGGAUGAUAGGAGGGUAAGCUGCAGAGUGCAAGUAGGAAAGUACUCCAGCAGUUUCUGCAGCAACUUUCAGACGAAUAUCCAAAGAAAGAGUUGACGCCUUAAAUUUAUCAUGUAAGUGUUCAGAAAGUGUUCCAUUGCUGAUAAAUUCAUACACCAAUAGUGGAACUUCCGUCUCGAGGCAACAACCUAAGAGCUUAACCACAUUUCUAUGGUUGAUUUGGGAAAGGACAAGGACUUCAUUUAUGAAUUGUUCGAUCUGAUUGCGAUCAAUUACCUUAGAUUUUUUAUGGCAACGAUGCAAUUAUCUUUCAGAUAUCCUUUGUACACAGUUCCAAAACCUCCGUGACCAACAACUCUAUCUUUGUCAAAGCCAUUAGUUGCCUUUUCUAGCUCUUCCGCUGUGAAAAUCUUUAUUGUAUUAUUAUGACUUGAUCCCUCUUCCCUUGUAAGUCGCUGUUGUAGAACUAAUCCACCAUUUUCCUGGAAAAACUUCUUCUUCAUCUUUGACAUCUUUCUCCUUUGGAAUGCAGUGUAUGACCAGCCAAAAACAAUAAUAAUCGCAAAAGCAACCCCUGCUGUAGCACCUGUAUAAAAAUAUUUAAACUUUAUUAGACAUUUUAGGUCGAUGUAUAUAGUUCGUGAAAAUAAAAUUGUUAUCGAUUUGAAAGAAGUUAAGAGAGGUACCUAUAACAAAAUAAAUAUUUUGAGUUAUUCUCUGAGGAUUGUCACGAUUGCAUACUGUACCAUUACCACUGAAAUCUGGAGGGCAUAUGCAUGUAUAACUCCCUUCUGUAUUCUGGCAAAUGGCAUCCUUGGCACAUCUAUAAUCUGGUUUCCGAUCUAUACAUUCGUCGAUAUCUGCAGACUCGUAGAGUACAAACGUAUGAUAACGUAAACAUUCAUUUCCAAAAUGAUAGAUUUGAUAUAAUUAAAAUCAUAUUAGGAAACUCUCAAACAUAUACAUACCUUGACAACUCAGGUAUGGAUUCCCAUCAUAUCCUUGCAUGCAGGAACAUCGAUAACCAUUUGAAUCAUCAUGGCAAUAGCUGUUGUUACUCUUACAUGCAUAUGCAGUCGAGUUUCUCUUAGCUAUUUCACAUUUGUCUUCACCAACUGCCCAAUCUAGCACAAGAGGAAGCUUCUUCGUGUUCUGUAAACUGCUGAG